rnacentral:lncRNA from 1 species
UUUCACAGCAGUUAUUGUUGUUUGACUGAAAAGUUGCUAUGUUAAUGUUGUUUCACUGAAAGGUUGCUAACGUUGUUUCACAGCAGUCAAACUGAGACAAGGCAAGCUGGAUUCUUGUGCUACGACAUCCACAAGUUAGACGAAAAUUAAUAGCUUGUUACAACAAUGCAUAUGCAGCAAAACAAUAAACACUAACCAGGCAUAAAAGAAAGUAGUGAAACCCAAGCUACUUAUCACUUUUUGGCUGGUCUUUCUCUCUUUCCACUCACUGCUUGAACUUCUCAAUCUCGAGAUUCGCUAAAUACCUGAAAAAUUAAAUCUGAAUUGAUGACUGAAAUAACCAAAGUUUACCAGGCUACCAACAGUUUACUCACCAUUUAGAUCUUUACCAGUCUUUAUGGUCAUCAGUUUCGUUGCUUCCAUGGCACUAAGAAUUCCAUUCAUAAAAAAAUAAUUUUCCCAUCACGUCAUAAUUAUGCAAACUGGAUAAUCUCUCUAAUAUGAAAUAGGUGUUGUUUUGCACAUUACCAUGCUUCCCACGAUAUAACUUUGAUUCCCAUAAAUAAAAUAUAAAUUCAUUACUAUUUUUGUUGCAAUAUAUAUUUGUGAAAUGUACCAAUACUUUACUACAGUAAGAUACUUUUUGAGACAAAGAUACUCGCAUCAUUUUCAUGUAUUCGAAAUGAAUGUAUCAGAAGAAUUUUUUUAUCAAAGGUUUUGACUGAUGACUUGCAGUUGCACUCAAAAUAUGACUUCUCUGUGGAUUUAAAGAAUAAUAUUCAACAAUAUAAUCUUGUCGGUGGCAGUGGGAUUCAUUCACCAUAUUCUCAUAUUUUAUUCUUUAUUUCUAUAUGCGUGCACAGGGUUAUUCAUCUUCACGCCUUGUGUUCUUAUCUUGUACGACUAUUCGUUGUACGACACAGUCGUGGCCGUUAAUUUUUUUAUAUAGGCAUGCCCUAUCAAGGGGCACCCGGUGAUCAACAAAUCCCAAUUGCAACAACAAGAUAAUCGAAUAUGAGCACUCCCGAACUGCGAAUCGUAGCUUUGUAGGUAUUAAACAAGAACAAAGCAACGUGCAAAAAAAAAAAGAGUUGUGAGAUGAGAAGGGUACUCACGUAGUUGUUGGCCCAGUUCUAGUAGUUGUCCUGCCAGUGCAGGAGGCCAGGAGCUGGGACUUUGCCGAGGAUCCUGCUGCAGGCAAGGGACGGCAGGAGGGCAGGGCGGCGGCACCGAGCGGCGAGAGGUGCAACGGCGGGGGCGAGGGUGUGGGGAGUAUGGCAAAUCGCGAUCUCCCUUCGCGGACGGCGCGGAGGAGCGCCCGAGCCUAAGCGCUUUCUGUUUGACCAGGUUGUGGACCUUU